UACGUAGGUGGCGAGCGUUGUCCGGAUUUACUGGGCGUAAAGAGCGCGUAGGCGGCUUGCCAAGUCAGUGGUGAAAUCUCCCGGCUUAACUGGGAGAGGCCCGCUGAUACUGGUAGGCUCGAGGGAGGCAGAGGAAGGUGGAAUUCCCGGUGUAGCGGUGAAAUGCGCAGAUAUCGGGAAGAACACCCGUGGCGAAGGCGGCUCUCUGGGCAUUUCCUGGACGCUGAGGCGCGAAAGCGUGGGGAGCGAACCGG
rnacentral:rRNA from 1 species